rnacentral:rRNA from 1 species
ACGGGUGAGUAACGCGUGGGAAUCUACCCAUCUCUACGGAACAACUCCGGGAAACUGGAGCUAAUACCGUAUACGUCCUUCGGGAGAAAGAUUUAUCGGAGAUGGAUGAGCCCGCGUUGGAUUGGCUAGUUGGUGGGGUAAUGGCCUACCAAGGCGACGAUCCAUAGCUGGUCUGAGAGGAUGAUCAGCCACACUGGGACUGAGACACGGCCCAGACUCCUACGGGAGGCAGCAGUGGGGAAUAUUGGACAAUGGGCGAAAGCCUGAUCCAGCCAUGCCGCGUGAGUGAUGAAGGCCCUAGGGUUGUAAAGCUCUUUCAACGGUGAAGAUAAUGACGGUAACCGUAGAAGAAGCCCCGGCUAACUUCGUGCCAGCAGCCGCGGUAAUACGAAGGGGGCCAGCGUUGUUCGGAAUUACUGGGCGUAAAGCGCACGUAGGCGGAUACUUAAGUCAGGGGUGAAAUCCCGGGGCUCAACCCCGGAACUGCCUUUGAUACUGGGUAUCUCGAGUCCGGAAGAGGUGAGUGGAAUUCCGAGUGUAGAGGUGAAAUUCGUAGA